rnacentral:lncRNA from 1 species
CUGAUCCCAUGUCCAAAGAGAAGACUGAGUUUAUCAAUGUCAUUGUUUCUCUUAAAAAAGCUUGAUUAUUAUGUCAUCAGUGGUUAUCUAGCGUGGAACCCCCACCACCACCACAAAACCAAUCAAUAUUAUAUGGUACAAAUGAACUGUGCUACGGCACUGUUAUCCAAUCAAGAAUAAUUCCAUGCUUGCGAGUUGUUUGUAAAAUUUUACCACUCUUUAUUUUUAAUUUCUAAAUACAUCAAAAUAAUAAAAUUUACAAACCAAUACCUAAAAUUACAAAGUCAAAGUUGACAAAUUAUCAGUUUUCUUUCUGUUUUCAAUGUCAAAAGUUUUAUAAUAGCCACCACCUCAUAAAUUAAGGAAAAGAAAAGACAUUUUCAAUUCCAAUGUAUAUUCAUCCAAGGAAACAAC